rnacentral:rRNA from 1 species
UAGGGAAUAUUGCACAAUGGGCGAAAGCCUGAUGCAGCAACGCCGCGUGCGCGAUGAAGGCCUUCGGGUCGUAAAGCGCUUUUCGGGGGGAUGAGGAAGGACAGUACCCCCGGAAUAAGUCUCGGCUAACUACGUGCCAGCAGCCGCGGUAAAACGUAGGAGGCAAGCGUUAUCCGGAUUUACUGGGCGUAAAGCGCGUGUAGGCGGCCCGGUCAGUCGGACGUGAAAUCUCCUGGCUCAACUAGGAGGGGCCGUUCGACACUACCGGGCUUGAGGGCAAGAGAGGGAGGUGGAAUUCCGGGUGUAGCGGUGAAAUGCGUAGAUAUCCGGAGGAACACCUGUGGCGAAAGCGGCCUCCUGGCUUGCCCCUGACGCUCAGACGCGAAAGCUAGGGGAGCGAACGGGAUUAGAAACCCCGGUAGUCCUAGCUGUAAACGAUGCGGACUUGGUGUUGGUGGCUUAAACUCCAUCAGUGCCGUAGCUAACGCGAUAAGUCCGCCGCCUGGGGACUACGACCGCAAGGUUA